UAGUGGCGAACGGGUGAGUAACACGUGGGCAAUCUGCCCUUCACUCUGGGACAAGCCCUGGAAACGGGGUCUAAUACCGGAUAUCACUUCUGCUCGCAUGGGUGGGGGUUGAAAGCUCCGGCGGUGAAGGAUGAGCCCGCGGCCUAUCAGCUUGUUGGUGAGGUAGUGGCUCACCAAGGCGACGACGGGUAGCCGGCCUGAGAGGGCGACCGGCCACACUGGGACUGAGACACGGCCCAGACUCCUACGGGAGGCAGCAGUGGGGAAUAUUGCACAAUGGGCGGAAGCCUGAUGCAGCGACGCCGCGUGAGGGAUGACGGCCUUCGGGUUGUAAACCUCUUUCAGCAGGGAAGAAGCGUAAGUGACGGUACCUGCAGAAGAAGCGCCGGCUAACUACGUGCCAGCAGCCGCGGUAAUACGUAGGGCGCAAGCGUUGUCCGGAAUUAUUGGGCGUAAAGAGCUCGUAGGCGGCUUGUCACGUCGGGUGUGAAAGCCCGGGGCUUAACCCCGGGUCUGCAUUCGAUACGGGCUGGCUGGAGUGUGGUAGGGGAGAUCGGAAUUCCU
rnacentral:rRNA from 5 species